rnacentral:rRNA from 1 species
AUUGAACGCUGGCGGCAGGUCUAACACAUGCAAGUCGAACGGAGUGGCGGACGGGUGAGUAAUGCCUAGGAAUCUGCCUGGACGUGGGGGAUAACGUACGGAAACGGGCGCUACUACCGAACACUAUGACAUGAUCCUAGGUAGGAUUAGCUAGUUGGUGGGGUAAAGGCCUACCAAGGCCACGAUCCGUAACUGGUCUGAGAGGAUGAUCAGUCACACUGGAACUGAGACACGGUCCAGACUCCUACGUGAGGCAGCAGUGGGGAAUAUUGGACAAUGGGCGAAAGCCUGAUCCAGCCAUGCCGCGUGUGUGAAGAAGGUCUUCGGAUUGUAAAGCACUUUAAGUUGGGAGGCGUUACCAACAGAAUAAGCACCGGCUAACUUCGUGCCAGCAGCCGCGGUAAUAC